UAGGGAAUUUUGGACAAUGGGCGCAAGCCUGAUCCAGCAAUGCCGCGUGCAGGAUGAAGGCCUUCGGGUUGUAAACUGCUUUUGUACGGAGCGAAAAGGUCUGCCCUAAUACGGUGGGCUCAUGACGGUACCGUAAGAAUAAGCACCGGCUAACUACGUGCCAGCAGCCGCGGUAAUACGUAGGGUGCGAGCGUUAAUCGGAAUUACUGGGCGUAAAGCGUGCGCAGGCGGUUAUGCAAGACAGAGGUGAAAUCCCCGGGCUCAACCUGGGAACUGCCUUUGUGACUGCAUAGCUGGAGUGCGGCAGAGGGGGAUGGAAUUCCGCGUGUAGCAGUGAAAUGCGUAGAUAUGCGGAGGAACACCGAUGGCGAAGGCAAUCCCCUGGGCCUGCACUGACGCUCAUGCACGAAAGCGUGGGGAGCAAACA
rnacentral:rRNA from 1 species